AUGCCAGACUCCUACGGGAGGCAGCAGUGGGGAAUAUUGCACAAUGGGGGAAACCCUGAUGCAGCGACGCCGCGUGAGUGAAGAAGUAUUUCGGUCUGUAAAGCUCUGUCAGCAGGGAAGAAAAUGACGGUACCUGACUAAGAAGCCCCGGCUAACUACGUGCCAGCAGCCGCGGUAAUACGUAGGGGGCAAGCGUUAUCCGGAUUUACUGGGUGUAAAGGGAGUGUAGGUGGCAUAACAAGUCAGAAGUGAAAGCCCGGGGCUCAACCUGUGGCCUGCAUUUGAAACUGUAGUUCUUGAGUACUGGAGAGGCAGACGGAAUUCCUAGUGUAGCGGUGAAAUGCGUAGAUAUUAGGAGGAACACCAGUGGCGAAGGCGGCUUACUGGACUGUAACUGACGUUGAGGCUCGAAAGCGUGGGGAGCAAACAGGAUUAGAUACCCUCGUA
rnacentral:rRNA from 1 species